CAGGUGAGACUGCAGAUUGUAACAGACUGAGGACUUCCAUCGCUGCUCCCUUUCCCAAGCAAGAAUUACAGUGGCCUUCGCAUACCAGAAAGGACGAUGUUCCUCUUCGUUUGGGUGUCACACUGGAGGUUGCAGGCAGCCCGAGGACAUUUCUCCAAGCAGCAUGAAGGUUUUGGGCAAGAGCCCUCAGGCCCAUCAGCAGGUCUCCCAUAGCCCCAACACCUCUGCCAGGCAGCCUCCACAAUCAACAACUCUUCCUGUGGCUACAAACAAGGCAAGACACAUCAGAGC